AGGCCAGAGGACCAGCAAAAGUCACGAACCCAAGUCGUCGGCGGCUAGGGCUUUUCUACGUGUACGACGGUUUUUAGUCCCACAUUCAUACUACAAAAGAUAAUCAAACGGUCCAACUAAAAAGAAAAAUCAAAUGGUUGGGCCCCACCGUCGCCGUAGCCCAUCCGCCACUUAAAAAAUGACCCCUACACCCCUCCUCAAUUCCGUCCAACAAACCUCUUUCCCCUCCCCGCAUCCCAAGCCUCCCAGCUCCAUCGCCACACGCUCGAACCCACUCCUCACGCUCAAGCGCACACCGCACCAACCAGCGCAGCCAUGGCUCUCACCGGCCGCGUCGCCACCACCGCAGCGUGCAUCCUCGUCCUCCUCGCGCUCGCCGACGCCGCGGGGGCGGCCACCCGGGCGCCGGCGCCCGCGCCGGCGCAGGACUGCACGGAGGCGUUGACUAGCCUCGCAGACUGCCUCGACUAUGUGUUGCCCGACAGCAAGUCGGCCCGGCCUACCAAGGCCUGCUGCACGGAGGUGAAGACCGCCGUCGGCACCCCCGCCACCGUGAAGUGCCUCUGCGCUGCCAUGGACGCCAAGACAACUCCGAUACCGAUCAACAUGACACGCGUGCUCGCCCUCCCCACCGCCUGCGGCCAAUCCGCCUCUGUCUUGAGCAAGUGCCACGCUGCGGCUCCUGCUGAAGCACCGGCGCCUUCAGCAUCCAGUGGCGGCGCGACCGCUUCACCACCGAAGGCGAAUGCGGCGGCGAGGUCUCCCGGCGGCCCCGCAACCAUUAUCCUCGCAACCGUGGCGACUUCGCUGCUCGCCUUCUAUUACGUCUGAGGGUCGACAUUUCUGCCUCACGUGUUAUGUUGCACAGACCUUGUGACUCUGUGUUGUGCGGUGUUGUAAUCUGAGUUUACUUUGUUCAUCGGGAUGGGCUCUGAGUUACAGUUAUUAUCAUGUACCGUGGACUGAAUAUUGAGUAGUAAAUUGCCAUGUACCGUGCACUGAUUAUUGAGAAGCUAUGACACUGUUGACUUUGAAAUGCGCAGAUGAUCCGCUACAAACUACUACUACAUCCGUCCUGCUUUACUAGGGUUCUUAUCUGAACAUAAUUUUCAAUGAUAUUAUUU
rnacentral:rRNA from 1 species